rnacentral:tRNA from 1 species
UAGAAUGAAGCUCGCUGGAUAGAGUGUUUAGCUGUUAACUAAAAUAUUGCAGGAUCGAGGCCUGUCAUUCUAG